UACAGAGGUCUCAAGCGUUGUUCGGAUUCAUUGGGCGUAAAGAGCGUGUAGGCGGCCAGAUAGGUCUGCUGUGAAAACUCGAGGCUCAACCUCGAGAUGUCGGCGGAAACCAUUUGGCUAGAGUCCGGAAGAGGAAAGUGGAAUUCCUGGUGUAGCGGUGAAAUGCGCAGAUAUCAGGAAGAACACCCGUGGCGAAGGCGGCUUUCUGGGACGGUACUGACGCUGGAGA
rnacentral:rRNA from 1 species